AUGGGAUCUGCUCGUGGUGAUCAACUGGAUGCAGGAUUUGCGAAGCUUCAAGGCGAAGACUUCCAGUACAUCAUGCAAUCUUAUGAAAUCAUUGUGGGACGCAAUUCCAAGAAAGGAAAGGUAGACUUAGAUCUCAGCGCCGUUGGCGGAGAUAGGGAUGUUUCCCGCCGCCAUGCACACAUCUUCUAUGAUUUUCAACACCGCUCGUUUGCCCUUGAGGUUCUGGGCCAACAUGGAUGCUAUGUUCAGAGGGUCCUUCACCACCCAGGUGGUGAUCCCGUUAAGCUGAAGUCCCAGGAUCUCAUUCAGAUUGGACAAACACAAUUCUACUUUCUCCUACCAGCUCGCCCCAUCUUUGCAUCCUUUGCUGCUCAGGGCACUCCACACUCGUUUAACCUUCGUUGCCAAACCAUUCAUAUUGGUUCCGCCACAGCUUCUCCUCGGCAAACUCAUAUUCCAUCACAACCCAUGUCUUCAUCCGGCAAGCGCCCUGCCCAUUCUGAUUUUUCUGCUUCUCGUAACAAUGGUUAUGGCGGGGCCAAAUGUGGCAAUGGAAUUAAUGUUGGCACUGGAACUCAAGGACUCUUACUUUAUUCUGCAGCCAAAAAAUUAGAAACUAGAAUGGCAGACAAGGAUGUAGACAAUAUGCUGGAGUAUCAUCUUACCUCAUGUGCUGCAGUCAUGGUAUCAGUCCACUUUGAUACUAGUGGUAGACAAUGGAUGCCUGUGGAACAACUCCAUGCAGAGCUUACUGGAAAGUUCACUGCGAUAUGGCCCUAUGGCAAUGUCCAAAAGUACCUGGCACCAGAGGAUGGCUCAUCAACCAGAACAGUAGAGAGGCCAUGGCACAGGCUGUUGGAGCUGCUCAAGAAUCACCCGGAGAGGUUUAUCAUGAGUUCAAUCUCUAGAGGCACAAUAACAUUAGAGUUCGUUUCGCUGGUCAGCUUGGCUGAUAAGUUUUGCUGCCCUGAGGUUGAUCAGGUCACUGCCAGGUUCGUGUCCAAAAAAUAA
rnacentral:rRNA from 1 species